ACGGGAGGCAGCAGUGGGGAAUAUUGCACAAUGGGCGAAAGCCUGAUGCAGCGACGCCGCGUGAAGGAUGAAGUAUUUCGGUAUGUAAACUUCUAUCAGCAGGGAAGAAAAUGACGGUACCUGACUAAGAAGCUCCGGCUAAAUACGUGCCAGCAGCCGCGGUAAUACGUAUGGAGCAAGCGUUAUCCGGAUUUACUGGGUGUAAAGGGAGCGUAGGCGGCAUGGCAAGUCAGAUGUGAAAAUCCGGGGCUCAACCCCGGAACUGCAUUUGAAACUGUCAGGCUAGAGUGCAGGAGAGGCAAGCGGAAUUCCUAGUGUAGCGGUGAAAUGCGUAGAUAUUAGGAGGAACAUCAGUGGCGAAGGCGGCUUGCUGGACUGUAACUGACGCUGAGGCUCGAAAGCGUGGGGAGCAAACAGGAUUAGAUACCCUGGUA
rnacentral:rRNA from 2 species